rnacentral:tRNA from 1 species
CGGGGCGUGGCGCAGCCCGGUUAGCGCGCUACACUGGGGGUGUAGAGGUCGGAGGUUCAAAUCCUCUCGCCCCGACCA